rnacentral:misc_RNA from 1 species
CGCGCUGUCGCCAGUGGCUAGCGUCUAGACGACACUUCUAGGUUGAUAAGCUGUCCGUGUUAAAAUCUUAAGGUGACAAUAAUGGCUCCGAUUCUCGGCUACUGGAACGUACGAGGGAUUGCUGAACCAAUUCGCUAUCUGAUGGCUUAUACUGGAACAAAGUGCGAGUACUGUGACUACGUGACUGGGGACGCACCUGAUUAUGACAAAAGCGGUUGGUUCUCGGUGAAAGAGACGUUAGGACUGCCCUUUCCGAACUUACCCUAUUACAUCGACGGGGAUGUGAAGUUAACACAGACGACAGCGAUUAUUCGGCACAUCGCCCGAAAGCACAAUCUAUGUGGAACCAGCGAAGAAGAGAUGAUGAGAGCCGAUGUAAUUGCUGCCGAGGCAGUGGACUUCAUCAAUGGAUUCAUAAAAUUCACUUAUUUCAGUCCAGACAUGGAAGGGGGAAGAGAAGCGUAUUUGAAUUCUUGCAAAGCGUUUCUUCAGCGUCACUCAGACUUCCUCAGCACGUAUCCUUACUUCACCGGCGAUCAUUUAAGUUUUGCCGAUUUCAUGAUGUAUGAAAUCUUGGAUCAACUACGAACCUUUGAGCCAUUAGCUCUUAAUCCAUUUCAAAACAUCAAGGACUUCAUGGCCAGAAUCGAGGUAAGAUAUAAAGAUGCAAUGAUGCCUAUUUUCUGAUCGAUGAACGAACCGAUCUCGGAAAGCAAAAAUCAUAGAGUGACGUAGAACGGAACCAAGGUAAUCACGACGACCAAUCAGGGCGAAGGGAAAUCUCACAAGGAGCCAAUGGAAAAUUAAGCGCAUUCCUGCUAUUAAAGAGUUCUUGGAGUCCGAGUACUUCCGUAAUCGACCAAUUAGCAACAAGAUGGCACAGUGGGGAACCAAGCCUAUUCCCCGUCAGUGAAAGAAAAUGAACGAUUUAUCAACAGACACGCUCAGAUGUGAUCACAAACGAGAAUAUCGUAGUUUGAUUUACUUGUCUUUGUUCACAAAUAAAAAUGGUGGUCUUUUCUAUA